AUUGAACGCUGGCGGCAGGCUUAACACAUGCAAGUCGAGCGGAGAUGAGGUGCUUGCACCUUAUCUUAGCGGCGGACGGGUGAGUAAUGCUUAGGAAUCUGCCAUUUAGUGGGGGACAACAUUCCGAAAGGAAUGCUAAUACCGCAUACGUCCUACGGGAGAAAGCAGGGGAUCUUCGGACCUUGCGCUAAAUGAUGAGCCUAAGUCGGAUUAGCUAGUUGGUGGGGUAAAGGCCUACCAAGGCGACGAUCUGUAGCGGGUCUGAGAGGAUGAUCCGCCACACUGGGACUGAGACACGGCCCAGACUCCUACGGGAGGCAGCAGUGGGGAAUAUUGGACAAUGGGGGGAACCCUGAUCCAGCCAUGCCGCGUGUGUGAAGAAGGCCUUUUGGUUGUAAAGCACUUUAAGCGAGGAGGAGGCUACCUGGAUUAAUACUCUGGGAUAGUGGACGUUACUCGCAGAAUAAGCACCGGCUAACUCUGUGCCAGCCGCCGCCGUAAUAC
rnacentral:rRNA from 1 species